CAUUCACAAUAAACUAGUGCAAAAGAUAUCGAUUGCGUUUGCAAAUAUUUUCGUUGGCUCGCAAAUUAAUUUAUUUAAUUGUUUUCAAGUGCGUUAUACUUUCAACAGAGUCUUUCAAACAUAUUAUAAACCGGUAGUGAGUGUUAUUUGGAAGGUUUUGAUGUGCAUGAGUCUGAAAUUGCAUUGCUUGAAAGCUGAUCAACGUGUUGCGCUUUUUCUUUGUAUGUUAAACAAAAAAUCCUUGAAAAAGCUUUUGCCGUAGGCAAGGGCACGUAGAAUCAUAAGCGCACCCCAAUCACGAAGGAAUUUUAAGAUAAGAAGCCACUGAUAAAACAACCAACAAAACGAGUUGCAGUGAAAAGUGUAGUUUUUCAUUCUAAAAAAACAAAACGCAAGCACUAAAAUUGGACUACAAAAAAAAAAGAUACAAAUAAACCAAAUUAUAAAUUCAAAACGAAACGUUUCAUCCACUCAUCAACACUUUGGGGCACGUCAAAUUCAAUUUUCUAACAUUUUCGGAUUGUGAAGUGCGUCCAUUGGAUUGGGUUUGGUUAAUCAUACAUUGGUGUGCAGGGACAUCGCACAUCACUCCCACUACAAUCACCACUACCAUCACCACCACAACCACUACUAUUACUACUACUCCAACCACAGCCAAUAGUGCCCAUAUAGGUGAUUUAAUCACCAUACAUACAUACGUAAUUAGGUUGCAGGACAUCAUCGUCAUCUCAGCGCUUUGUUUUGCAUAUUUGUGGUAGCGCAUAUUGUAAAUUGACCGAAACAAAUAAGCAGCCAUAAGUAGGCUUCAAUAAAAAUUGCUUACACAAAUCUAACCUGCAAAGAAAAAAAGAUUAAUAUUUAAAUUUGCAAACUGGGAGUCGCUUAUAUCGAUCAUAAACAAGCAAAUUGCUAAUUACACACACACGCACACAUAGUGCUGCUCACCACAAUGAGUUUGUGGAAGAGUAUCGUACGCUCUCCAGAGCUUGAAAAGCGCAUGACUCAGUACUACGAUGUCAAGGGCCUCGCCGAGAUACGCGUGCAAUUUGCAUCGUGGAUUGAAGAGUUCAUAAUGUCUCAUCACCAAUUGCCAACUAAUCAGAAAAUCUUCGAACAAUUAGUCAACGCAUUCUACGACGGACUGAAACAGAAGCUCAUUACAUUGGAUGGUGAUAAUUUGUUAAAGUUUAAAAUUCGUGAAAUUUGUGCGCAUCUCGCACGAACAACACCCCUCGAACUAUACACGUACAUUCGUAACGGUUUACUUCGCGAAAUUCAGGCGUUGAAGGAAGGAAUGCCACAAAAUCCCUACAUGUAUAAUACAGCACUUGUUGGUGGCCAUGUGAAUGGGAUCGGCGGCAUGAAUGCAGGUAAUCCCUAUUUGAGCGGUGUCGGCGUCGGUGUUGGCGUUAGCCACAUCGAUGAUGUCAAUAUGGCCGAAGAUGCGUACGCAUUGCCGUCGCGCAUACAGAAAUUGGCUGUCGAUGUUGAGAAUAUGCGUAUGGCCAUACACAAUUUCCAAGGUGAACAGGAUUCGGUAUACAAUUAUUUUAGUGAUUUCAACCAAACACGUGCAAUGAUGUCGGCACAAGAUAUACAGGACCGUGAAAAUCAAUUUAAGGAACAGUAUCUCAUUUUGUCCGAACGCAAGAAGGUUGUUGUCACCGAUUUGCGGCGCGUUAUCAACGAAUACGAUAUGAUACAGGAGCAAGUGAUAAUGGCUUUGAAAAUGUGGCAACGCAAUCAGGCUUUGGCUGGCAAUGGUGCACCAUUCCACGACAAUUUAGAUGAGAUACAACGUUGUAUAGAGAUGUUAGUGGAUAUGAUUACCAAAAUACAAUUAUACGUUACUAAUCUGCUCGCGAUGGGCGAUGAUCCGAUUCUGACAGAUUUGUUAAAUCACGUACGGUCUACACAAAAAAUUCUGGUAUUGUCGGCUUUUAUAGUGGAACGCCAGCCGCCACAAGUGAUGAAAACACACACGAGAUUUGCCGCCGCUGUACGAUGGUUGAUUGGCCCACAGCUGGAGAUAUACAGAACUAAUCCAACUAUAGAAUGCGUUAUACUCUCAGAGGCCCAAGCUCAACGGCACGCUGCUCAUAACAGCACUACGGACAUGCAAACCGCCGCUCCACCGCAGUCUUCUGGUGAAAUUUUAAAUAACGUCAGCUCUAUGGAAUUCCAACAGGCUACACGAGUAUUCUCGGCCAGUUUUAGAAAUAUGCAAUUGAAAAAAAUUAAGCGGGCUGAGAAGAAGGGUACCGAGAGUGUUAUGGACGAGAAGUUCUCUUUACUCUUCUACACAACUGUCGUUUUCAACGAAUUCAAGAUAAGUUGCUGGACACUUUCUUUGCCAGUUGUUGUGAUUGUGCACGGCAAUCAGGAGCCACAGUCCUGGGCCACAAUCACUUGGGAUAAUGCAUUUUCCGAUAUUACGCGUGAACCCUUCCAAGUGCCAGAGAAAGUACGCUGGCAACAAUUAUCUGUGGCUUUGGAUACGAAGUUUGGUUCGGCGACAGGAAGAAAUUUAACCGAAGAUAACUUGAACUUUCUAUAUGAGAAACUUUUCCGCAACGAAGCUGGCGAGCAUAAUGAGUUCAUAACUUGGGCACAGUUCUGCAAAGAACCUCUACCAGAUAGAGCUUUCACCUUCUGGGAUUGGUUCUUUGCAAUAAUGAAAUUGACCAAGGAUCAUUUAUUGAAUCUGUGGAAAGAGGGUCUUAUUGUUGGAUUCAUAAACAAGCGCAAGACUUUGGAAGAAAUUUUACCUAUGCAACAAUAUGGCACAUUUUUACUGCGUUUCUCCGACAGUGAAUUGGGCGGUAUAACUGUGGCUUUUGUCGACGAUCAGGGUAAUAAACUUAUGCUGGCACCUUGGACGUCACGUGAUUUAAAUAUACGUUGUUUGGCCGAUCGCAUACACGAUUUGAACGUUUUGCGUACUGUCUUUCCAAAGAAUCUGGCACGUGAUGAGGCGUUUGGAAACUUCUACUCACACCACGUCGUAGAACAAACAACACGUGAUGGCUAUGUUCCGAAUACGAUAAGGGCACACGUGCCGGCCAUAGAGGGCGGUUCCGUGGUGGGCACUCCUCAGCAUCAACCGCAAGAUAUAUCAAUACCUAAUUAUAUCGAAGAUCUUGGCAUCGAUUGGAAUUGCAUCUGAAAUGGGUGGGCUGUAUAUAAUUGGUAUAAUGAAUGGUCAAAUAUUUAGUGGAGUGUGUGCAACAUGUCAUGCAACAGUUGCUCAAGACUUUUAAGCAGUUUUAGUGAUUUUGAUUCAAUAAUUUAUGAUGGAUGCGGAUAGAUACAUACACACGCAGUGUUAUACAUAUAUACACACGUUUAACAAAUUGAUUGAAAGGAAAAAGGAAAACAAAUUAAUAACAAUAAAAAACAACAACAACAUAAUUUAUACGAUAAAAUACAUUUUAACUAUUUGCCAUCAUAUAAAGCGUAUAAUUGCUUAAAAACUGCAGCUUUGCUAAGAACUUUAUGACUUUUACAAACGCAAGUGAGAGUCACGAGUUCCUUAGUAAAGUAGGCCAGUGUAUUAGUUAUUAGCAAUCAUUAACCGUACACACAUCUGUCCACACAAUUAACUACUUCGUUAUUAAAUUGUCGAGCAAUAUUUUCAAAACAACGUUGCUGUGCUUAUUUAAAAAUUGGUGUCUCUGAGCGACUUGUAAGCCAUCGUUAAACACACAAAAGCAGUAAAGCAAAAUGCCACUAAUGGUUUGAAGGAAGCAUGUUCAAAAGCAAGAGAAAACAAAAACACAAAGAGAACGCGUUAUUGAAAUAUUCGACGAAGGGAUACUUUGCUGUUUUAUCAUUUUUGUACACUUUCAUGUCGCUAGUCGAUGCUGAAUAUGAUAUGAUAUUUACAUUUACCGUUAUGCAUGCUGUACCGCCUUGAAAUUAUAUAUUUAGUCUAUAUCUUCUCUCCAAAAACUUACGAAAAACAAAACAUUUUUUUUUAUAUUCUUUUUAUGAACACUAACUUUUUUACGCUCUUCGAAACACAUGUAACUACCGUUAGUGGUAAAUAACGUAUAGUUUGUAAAAGUAAGUGUAAUAGUUUUAUACUCGCCGUUGCCUUAUAUAAUUAUAUUAAAUUUUCACUUUUUUUGUGUUCUGUAAAUCUAUUUUUAAUAGUCAAAUGAACUUUUCAAUGUUGCGGGUGCUUGAAUAUUUGAAUUCUCUUUAUCACUGGUACUUGUUGUUUUGUGGUUAACUGAAUGUAAUUGCAAAAAAAAAAAGUUAAAUAAAUAAUUACAAAUAACUGCAUGCCGAUUGGUGCAAAUCUAAAGGGUCCACAGCCUAAAAUUAAAUGUUGAAUUGAAUCAGUGAGGAUAUUUUUUUAUGAAAGUAAAAAAUACAAACGAAACAUGGAAAAUGAGAAAGUAAAGGAAAUCACUAACUGGUUACUAACCGGUUGCUAUGUUGUAUGUUUGACGAUAAGUGUGUAUACUACUUAGACGUAAGUGCAACUAAUUUAAGUAACGUUAAGUUAUUGAUUUAUACGCGUUUUUACAGCAGCAUAAACCCAACUGUGCUCUACUUGUGAGUCCAAAAACGAUAUACGACUUGUCGCUAACUGUGUAUUGCUACGUUAGUUGCGAGUCGCGAAAUUAUUUUACUUUGUGCAUAUGUCUAUAUUAUUUGUUAAUUGCGUAUUAAACGAUUUUAUUCUGUAUUUUUAUUUUUAUAUUAAAAAAAAUUAAUUUUAAUUAAUACGGUGCAAAGAAUUUCUUCAAAUUUUCACAUUUCUUUUAAAGAGUAUUUGAAUUUUUUUGCUCAUUUUUAUAUUGCUAUUAUUUAUAUUAUUAGAAAAAAAAGACUUUUUAGUUUUUUUUCAACUUUUUGUUCACUUUGGGUCCAUUGUAGUCGCAAUACUUUGACGUGACUGCAUGUGCCGUAUCUUGGAACUUUUUACUGGAAAUUUUUCAAAAUUUUCUUUGACACUUCACGCAUAUAUAGCAAAGUAGUACUUAUCUUAUUUAUAAGCAAAUAAUUCGUCGCUAAUUUUUAAUGUUCUCAAUAAAUAAAACAAAAAAGAUGAAGAAGUAUAAAUCCUACAUUUGUAUGUGCAUUAAUUGCUUUAAAUUUAAUUAUUGAAUACAAUAAUUUGUGAUUCUUAUUUUACAAAAUUUAUGAUACAUAAUUAUAAUUGGCUUCCAUUUCACGUCUCUACCAAUUAGCUUCUUAAGUUAAUUUCAUGUUAAGUUUUCAUUUUUGUAAAGUACUAAGCUAAAUAUGAGCGUUAUGCAGGAGAAGUUUUAUUAUUAAGCACUUUGAAAAAAUAAUAAAAAUAUUUGAAAAUAUUUGCAUUAAAUGUGGUGAAUUUUGAAACGAUUUUCGUGAACAAAAACGUGUUUAUUACUAAGAUUAGAGAGUAAUGUUUUAAAAAUGAUAUACGUAAAUAUACAUUUAUUAACAACAGUUAGCGAUAUCAAUAUGCGCAGUUGCAUUUUGGCAGAAAAAGUAAGAAAAUUGUAUUCAAUUUGAGGUUAUGAUUUAAAAAAAAGUUGAAUUUGAAGUUUUGUCAAAAAAACCAUAUUGAGGUUACCAAAAAAAAAAAAAAAAAAAUUUUGAGGUUAUAUCCAAAAAAAUGAAUUUGAUCUUUUGACUAAAAAGUUGAAUUUCAGGUUAUGGCUCAGAGAUAAAAUUUGAACUUACGACCAAUAAAAAAAUAAUUUGAUGUUAUACCUCAAAAAAAUUAAUUUGAGGUUAUGACUAAAUAAUUUCAAGAAUGUCGUUGCCUGUUUUUACAGAAUAUUUAAUGUCCUCACAACAAUAAUAACUGAAUAAGAGCUGACACUCACUCUAAUUUUGAAUUGUUUUACACAAAACUCUCUUUCACCCGCAAAAGUGUCGGAACACAUUACGAAAAUUAUAUGAAAAACCGAGUGAACGAGUUCAAAUAUGCUAUUUAACAACCUUUGUCUUUAAUAAUAAAGUAAUAAUGCAAUUAUUCACAACUUGAAUACACACACGUCCAUUUAGAGCGCAUAUUAAUAUCGCCAACUGUAUAUUUACAGAGAGCAAACACUAUUUAUCACAUACAAAGUGAAGUCUUUGUAUUUGUAUGUACGUUUAUGCAUAGAAAUACACAUUUUACAAAAAAUAAAUAUUACUAUACACACAUAUUUAACUAAAUAAUAAUAAAGAAUACAUUGAAUAAAUAAAGAAAUAAUAAAAAAGUAAGUGCAAAAAGCAGCGAGUGUUGUAAUUGAAAAUUUAUUUACAUGUAAACUGAUAUCUAGUUCUUAGGCACCAAAAAGAUUGAGUAAAUGUAUACUAAAUAUAUCGAAUGUUGACAUGUC